rnacentral:tRNA from 1 species
GGACCGGUAGCUCAGCCCGGUUAGAGCACCUGCCUGUCACGCAGGGGGUCGCGGGUUCAAAUCCCGUCCGGUCCG